CACAAUAAAAUAUUGUAUUCAAGCAUACAAACAAAGUAAACUAGAGUAUUACACUGUGUUCUAAGCAGAAAUCAGUAAACCAUAGUGUUUACACUCUUGCAAUGUCAACCACAAUAAAACAAAGUGAUACAAGUCAAAAACAAUGUGUGUAGUUUGUAUAUAAAAAUUAUACAAAAUGCAUGAUGUGUAAAGUGAAACUUGAUUGGUUUUUAAAAAUUAACAUAACACAAAACAUCAUAACUCAAGCCAUCAUUAUCUUCAUUUUCAUUUGAAAAAUAUGGGUCAGUUCAUGUCAAAUGUGUAGGGCUCAGCUGGCACUUGACUGUUUUCAUCUCCAAGUGAUAUGUCUAUCAAUUGUACAUGCUUCAAUUUUUUUUAAUUUUGUCAUUCAUUUUAGAACAUACUAUCUAAACAAUUGCAAUAGGAUAUCAUUUGUAUCAUGUUUUUCAUAAAGUAAUUAAAAGAUAUUAUUAUAUUUUUUUAUUCGUAAUCAGAAAAUAUUAUAAAGUUAACAUUAAAACAUUGUAAAUGCUCCAUUCCCUUAAUUCUUUCAUUCAUUUCAAUACACACCAGCUAAAAAAUUACAAUACAACAUCAUUUGCUUCAUGGUUUCCAUACAAGCCAUAAAAAGAUAUCUUUAUAGUAUAUUUAUGAAGUGCUUAUAGUGUUUUUAUUUUUAUUAAGAAAAUAUUAUAAAGUUAACUAAAUUGAUCAAAUUAUUAUUAAGAAAAUAUUAGAAAAAUAUUAUAAAAUAUUAUAAUGAUAUAAAUUUCUCUAAUUCUUUAAUUCAUUCCAUCUAAAUUGAUCAAAUUAUUAUUUUACAGUAUUUAUAUGUUAACUUUAUAGUGUUCUCGUUCGUAUUUAGAAAAUAAUAUAAAGUUGAUAUAAUAAUACUAUAAAGGGUUUAAUCAUUCAACAUAUUCAGCUGCUCAAUGAUCUUUAAAGAAAUAAAACUUGAUGAAAUUAAUAGAAAAUGUCGAUUAAGUUUACAUGUUUAAGAAUGGGGCUCUAACAGAAAACCACAAACCAGUGUAAGCUAAGAAAUACUUUAAAGAAGAAAACACAAGAUAAGACCACUUACCUCAAAUACUGUCCUAGCUAAAAGAACACAAAGCACCAUAAUUUCUUCGAGGGAAAAUUACGAUCGCAACUUGGUACAAGAGAGGGAAGAAAAAUAGGUGUUUUGAAGCAAGAGAGGGAAAAAGAGAGAAACCACAACUCUAAAUAGUGUUUUCUCCUAAACGACGCUCAUUUGACCAAACACAGGACAGCAUUUGAAGGGGUAUUCUUGAGAUUUUUGAAAUAAAGGAUGACUAAUUGGAAACAAAGAAAAGAGGGUACCAUUUGAGAAAUAUGUAAAAUGUAUUUUUCAAGAAAUCACCCUAAUAAUAAUUUU
rnacentral:lncRNA from 1 species